rnacentral:rRNA from 1 species
AGUGAACGCUGGCGGUAUGCCUAACACAUGCAAGUCGAACGGCAGCACAGUAAGAGCUUGCUCUUACGGGUGGCGAGUGGCGGACGGGUGAGGAAUACAUCGGAAUCUACUUUUUCGUGGGGGAGAACGUAGGGAAACUUACGCUAAUACCGCAUACGAACUACGGGUGAAAGCAGGGGAUCUUCGGACCUUGCGCGAGUGAAUGAGCCGAUGUCGGAUUAGCUAGGGGGCGGGGUAAAGGCCCACCAAGGCGACGAUCCGUAGCUGGGCUGAGAGGAUGAUCAGCCCCACUGUAACUGAGACACGGGCCAGACUCCUACGGGAGGCAGCAGUGUGGACUAUUGGACAAUGGGAGCAAGCCUGAUCCAGCCAUACCGCGUGGGUGAAGAAGGCCUUCGGGUUGGAAAGCCCUUUUGUUGGGAAAGAAAAGCAGCAGGUUAAUACCCCGCUGUUCUGACGGUACCCAAAGAAUAAGCACCGGCUAACUUCGUG